rnacentral:rRNA from 1 species
AGCAGCCGCGGUAAUUCCAGCUCCAAUAGCGUAUAUUAAAGUUGUUGCAGUUAAAAAGCUCGUAGUUGAAUUUCGGGAUCAGUACGUCGGUCGUGCCUUGGUACGUACUGGCGUCGCUGAUUUCUCCCUUCUGACGAACCGUGAUGCCAUUAAUUUGGUGUUGCGGGGAAUCGGGACUGUUACUUUGAAAAAAUUAGAGUGUUUAAAGCAGGCUCGCGCUUGAAUACAUUAGCAUGGAAUAAUGAAAUAGGACGUUCGAUCCUAUUUUGUUGGUUUCUAGGAUUGACGUAAUGAUUAAUAGGGAUAGUUGGGGGCAUUAGUAUUCAAUUGUCAGAGGUGAAAUUCUUGGAUUUAUUGAAGACUAACUACUGCGAAAGCAUUUGCCAAGGAUGUUUUCAUUAAUCAAGAACGAAAGUUAGGGGAUCGAAGACGAUCAGAUACCGUCGUAGUCUUAACCAUAAACUAUGCCGACUAGGGAUCGGAUGAUGUUAAUUUUUUAAUAGUACUCAUUCGGCGUACC